UUUCUGCAUCCUCCUACUGGCUUUAAGCCCACCAUGUGGAUUAUUAACGCCAGCUUCAGUACCUGAGCGUGGGAUAAAGCUAGCCAAAAGGGUCACAGCACUGAAAGCGUUAAAGAAUUUCACAGCCCCCGAGGUCCAAAGGCUGCUAACUCUCCUCUGUGUGUGGGAUGGAAGAGUAUCUGAAGGAGUCAAAGAGCUGUGUGUUUGGGUUUGUUCCUGCUGCUGUCUCGCAGGUCUCUUGGCAGAGGGCCUGAGCCUCUCUAGUAGAGGCUGUGACCCAGCUGUCCUCCACAAGAGGUGUGCGUGUUGCCAGCAGUCAGCGCAGAGUCGACCUCUGAUUGUGAGCCCUUGAAUGCAGAAGUCGUGGGAGCUGCACAGCAGAUAGCACUGGCCUUUCUGUGCUGCCCUUUCCUCCUCUCCAUCACUACUCCUUUGCUCUGCAGAAACCAACCUCGGGCCGUGGACCAGCUGGAAGGCUGAGCAUGAAGGGCUGUCGACAAGUAGGAAUGCUGAUAUGAUUCUCUUCUUCCUCCUGGG